rnacentral:rRNA from 1 species
CCUACGGGAGGCAGCAGUAGGGAAUAUUGCUCAAUGGGCGGAAGCCUGAAGCAGCAACGCCGCGUGGAGGAUGAAGGUCUUAGGAUUGUAAACCCGCUUUGUGACAGAAGGUAAUGACGCUAUCUCACGAAUAAGCACCGGCCAAAUCCGUGCCAGCAGCCGCGGUAAUACGGCGGGUGCAAGCGUUACUCGGAAUGACUGGGCGUAAAGGGUGCGCAGGCGGGGUUGUAAGUCAGAUGUGAAAACCUGGAGCUUAACCACAGAACUGCAUUUGAAACUUCGAGUCUAGAGUGGAGAAGAGGAAGGCGGAAUUCGUGGUGUAGCGGUAAAAUCCGUAGAUAUCAAGAGGAAUACUCAUUGCGAAGGCGGCCUGCUGGAACAUUACUGACGCUCAGGCUCGAAGGCGUGGGGAGCAAACAGGAUUAGAUACCCGAGUAGUC